rnacentral:rRNA from 1 species
UACGUAGGGUGCGAGCGUUGUCCGGAAUUAUUGGGCGUAAAGGGCGCGUAGGCGGCCACGCACGUCCGUUGUGAAAUCGCUCGGCUCAACUGGGCGGGGUCAGCGGAUACGGAGUGGCUGGAGCAAGCUAGGGGGCAAUGGAAUUCCCGGUGUAGUGGUGGAAUGCGUAGAUAUCGGGAGGAACACCAGUGGCGAAGGCGGUUGCCUGGAGCUUUGCUGACGCUGAUGCGCGAAAGCGUGGGGAGCGAGCCGG